GCUGGUACAAGGACGCGACGGAGUCGUAGGCCCUCUUGGCCUCCCCAGCCAUCAGCUCCGCCUGCACCAUGGCUCCCUUGGCCGCUCCCACCUGCUCCUCCGGGAGACGCUGGAUGUUGAACUCGACAUUUGACGAGCCUGGCAUCGUCGGAAGCUCCUGAGGCAUCCCGAGGUCCGCUCCAGUCGGCACCUCAACCACCAGUGCCGGUUCAGUCGGCGGCA
rnacentral:lncRNA from 1 species